AGGAAGGUGGGGAUGACGUCAAGUCCUCACUUGGCCCUUAUGGGUAGGGCUUCACACGUCAUACAAUGGUCGGUACAGAGGGUUGCCAACCCGCGAGGGGGAGCUAAUCCCACAAAGCCGAUCGUAAGUCCCGGAUCGCAGUCUGCAACUCGACUGCGUGAAGUCGGAAUCGCUAGUAAUCGUGGAUCAGCAUGUCACGGUGAAUACGUUCCCGGGUCUU
rnacentral:rRNA from 1 species